GUCCAGUGUAUUCGUGGGAAUAACAUGGGCCGCCGCAGCGGCUGAGUUCAAAUGGAACUCAGGAGGACCUAGACAGUUGCCUUCAUAGAGAAGGAUGAGGACGCCUGCCCGCCACCAUGGAUUUCGCUGGCUCGACCCUAGAGUCUGGAUGCCGCCACCGUCAUGAGAUCAGUUGUUCAGGGCUGAACGUCGAUGGCGUUGUUGAUCUCCAGGUUUGCCUCCCUCUCUGUGUUUUCAUGUGCGUGCGUGUGUGC